rfam:Pseudomonas bauzanensis strain CGMCC 1.9095 genome assembly, contig: Ga0066784_101
ACAUCCCUGGGAUGUUUGCCAGUCGGUGAUGUCCCUGAGCCGAUACUCCUGUAGAAGGGGGGCACGCGUUGCCGUCGGUGUGCAUGUCCGCUUGCCGGAAAGCCUAAAACGGUACCAUGUCCUCCGCCUUGAACUUUCGGGUUCAAGGGCUAACCCGACAGCGGCAUUCCGGGGUCCCU